rnacentral:lncRNA from 1 species
UAGUGUUGUCUGGGGGUAUUCAUUCUGUUACCUGUAUCGGACCAAAAAUGAAAAAAGAAAAGUGUUGGGCAUCGAUGGUAUCAUAAGACGCACCGAUUGCGGCGUUCGUCGCGCGGAUUCCUGACAUCUCAGUCUUCAUUUCGUUUAAAAGACACAUUCGCUUUUAAACGAGAUUCCCGGGAAAUUCUUUCAAGAACACCAUGCCCGAUAUCGAGACUAAUACUCGAGUUUUUGUGAUACAAAUACGACAUGCAUGCGUCAGAUCUUCCAUAGUGUUGACUUUGGUUCUUGUUUAAUUGUCAAUGCGUAUCAUCUAGAACCGAAAGUUUUCAAAGGGGCAAAGGUCUGAGUUUUAGAUAGUUAAGAGACAAAGAGUUGAUACUCCAUACAAUAUCAUCAAAUUAUUAGAGAAGCAAGAAUCCCAAAGCCACUUCUUAGGUAAUUUUUAAAUUCCCUCACAAAAUUCAAGGAUUGGGAUGUUUAUUCACUAUUUACCAGUAACCAAUGAUUGGAAUGAUACUUACAUGUGAAACAGCCUGUGCACUCACUUUUAAAUGUUCCAUCUUGGUGGCAAAAUAAGCUCUAAAUUGACUUAUUAAUCAUAGGUAAGU